GGGCCCCUCGUCUCACUCUGGAUGCAAUGCGCCCCUCGUACGGGCGCUAGUCUCGGUCCUCUCGGGCCUUGACAAAACUUUUGUAAUCCAACAUCAUGCCUAUUGCCAAUACAAGAGAUUAUUACAACCAGUAGCGUUGGAUCCCUUGGCACGUCGUUCGAUGAAGACCGUUGCAAAAUGCGAUAAGUGGUGUGAUAUGCAAGUCCAAAACUUAUACGUGAACCAUCGAAUUGUUGAACGCACUGCAUCGAGCCUUAUCCAGGAACGAUACGCCCCAUUGAGCGUCAUUAUGUCUUCGCGACAUCGUGUCUUUCUGACUCGAUGUCCGGGUUCGGGAUUCACGGCCAGUCAUCGGUCGCGCUUCCUUAGAUGAAUUGGCUGUGCCGGAGCGAGCAGUGACCUUGUCAUGAAUGUCGAGGUGUGCUGUCUUUUGGUCCGAGCGCAAGAUCCUCCUCUCUGUUGGGUGGGAUCAGAACGCGCGGCCUAGCGUCGUUGCGACUUCUACACAUGACCUCACGGGGGUGGGACGACCCGCUAGACUUAAGCAUAUUAAUCAGCGGAGGAAAAGAAACUAACAAGGAUUCCCCUAGUAACUGCGAGUGAAGAGGGAUUAGC
rnacentral:rRNA from 1 species